rnacentral:rRNA from 1 species
UACGAAGGGGGCUAGCGUUGCUCGGAAUCACUGGGCGUAAAACGCACGUAGGCGGACUCUUAAGUCGGUGGUGAAAUCCUGGAGCUCAACUCCAGAACUGCCUUCGAUACUGAGAGUCUCGAGUCCGGGAGAGGUGAGUGGAACUGCGAGUGUAGAGGUGAAAUUCGUAGAUAUUCGCAAGAACACCAGUGGCGAAGGCGGCUCACUGGCCCGGUACUGACGCUGAGGUGCGAAAGUGUGGGGAGCGAACAGG